UACGUAGGGACCAAGCGUUGUUCGGAUUUACUGGGCGUAAAGGGCGCGUAGGCGGCGUGACACGUCACUUGUGAAAUCUCCGGGCUUAACUCGGAACGGUCAAGUGAUACUGUUGUGCUAGAGUACAGAAGGGGCAAUCGGAAUUCUUGGUGUAGCGGUGAAAUGCGUAGAUAUCAGGAGGAACACCAAUUGCGAAGGCAGCUCGCUGGGACGUUACUGACGCUGAGACGCGAAAGCGUGGGGAGCAAACAGG
rnacentral:rRNA from 1 species